AUGGUCAAAAUACCAAUUGCAUUUCAAGUUACAUUCCCCUUGCAUUCAAACACAAUUAUAUCAUCUAAAAAACCCUACAUCAAGUCAAUAAGUUACAAUAAGCCUAUUCCUAAGUUUCUUCAUCUUUGUCAUUUCAUUCCAUCUUUUGUGUCCUUCUCUAAGCUUCUAAACAAGAUCACAAUUGUCCUGCUAAAAAUAAACCUAAACCUACUACAUACCCAACCAUAA